AGAGCCGCGCACCAAGCCGAUGGCGGUGGACGCAGCAGGGCCCCGCGGUCUGAGUGCGGGCAGGCGCGCGUGGGCGUGUCUCCCUGGCCCACGCGUGUCCCCGGCAUCAGUGUCUCGGCUCUGGUCCAGGACGAAGACUUCUGAAAGCGAGCCAAGGAGAAUCACAGUUCUUAACGGAGCCCCUGACUGCCCGGUGGAAGGAGGUGAUUUAGAAGACAGUGAGUUGAUCUGGGGCAAAGUGAAGCAUCAGUAGCGCCUUCCAUCCCUUCACCUCACCUGGAUCUCUUCACUUCACUCCACGUCUGUCGUCUCCCAUGCAUGAAGCAACAUGGCCAAGUGAAGCUGCAACCAGUAAAGUCACAGGAUGUUUCUUGGCUUCAAACCAUUUGGAUAAGUGAUGGCAGCAAGCUUCGCCACUGUAAAGUCACCUCUUUGUAAGAAGACAGGAGCUCUUUGUAAAGAAUAUGAGACCUGAGGCUGGGGGAUGGCUGAGAAGGGAAAAGCACCUCUGCACAAGCGUGAGAAAAGGAGUUUGUUCUUCCACAUCCAUGUAGAAAUCUUGAUGCCGUGCCGUGAACCCCAGCUCUCCUACGGGAAGAUGGGAGGCGUAGACAGGAGUUCAUCUGGAAGCUUGAGGCCAGCCACCCAGAUCCUCAGAGCUGCAGACAAAAGAGAGGCCCUGCAGCAAAAGAGUGGAAGGUGAGAACCAACUCCGGAAAGUUGCCCUCUGACCUUUACAAGUGUAUACAUCCACACACAUACAAUAAAAUCAAUUGCUCAAUCACGUA
rnacentral:lncRNA from 1 species